CUACUACACCCACUAAGCGGAGAAAAGGUAUCCCAACGUCUGUCCAAGAAUGUUGAAAUGUUGAAUGUUUUGAAGAAACGUGUUGUUCAGUACAAACCGUCACACUACCUAGCUACUGUUUAAUCAAACUGAAUGCACCCCAGAGACACCUGACACAGCCCCCAUUCUAUCUCAUAGAAGUGGGUCUGUGUCUAUUGUCUCUGUGGUUCCAGCCAAUCAGCUAUAAGGACAGGUAUAAAACCUCUGUUGGGUCUUUUAACAAAGAGAUAGAGGACUCGUGUGAUGACUUCCACCCACCAUGGAGCUCUCCCUGUGUUCUCUGUCAGUUCUGACGCUAGUGGCUGUUGUGUUCAUGGUACCAAUGAAAGACAGAAGUGAUGAUGUGUUAAGCUUUUUGAAUGGUGCCCUUGAUGUUGCUCCCGCUACUCAAAGCACCUCAG